UCGGCUUGGGCGGCGGGCUACACAUGCAGUCGAGCGGCAGCGACUUAACUGAACCUUCGGGGAACGUUAAGGGCGGCGAGCGGCGGACGGGUGAGUAAUGCCUGGGAAUAUGCCCUGAUGUGGGGGAUAACUAUUGGAAACGAUAGCUAAUACCGCAUAAUCUCUUCGGAGCAAAGAGGGGGACCUUCGGGCCUCUCGCGUCAGGAUUAGCCCAGGUGGGAUUAGCUUGUUGGUGAGGUAAUGGCUCACCAAGGCAACGAUCCCUAGCUGGUCUGAGAGGAUGAUCAGCCACACUGGAACUGAGACACGGUCCAGACUCCUACGGGAGGCAGCAGUGGGGAAUAUUGCACAAUGGGGGAAACCCUGAUGCAGCCAUGCCGCGUGUAUGAAGAAGGCCUUCGGGUUGUAAAGUACUUUCAGUAGGGAGGAAGGCAGUGUCGUUAAUAGCGGCAUUGUUUGACGUUACCUACAGAAGAAGCACCGGCUAACUCCGUGCCAGCAGCCGCGGUAAUACGGAGGGUGCGAGCGUUAAUCGGAAUUACUGGGCGUAAAGCGCAUGCAGGCGGUCUGUUAAGCAAGAUGUGAAAGCCCGGGGCUCAACCUCGGAACAGCAUUUUGAACUGGCAGACUAGAGUCUUGUAGAGGGGGGUAGAAUUUCAGGUGUAGCGGUGAAAUGCGUAGAGAUCUGAAGGAAUACCGGUGGCGAAGGCGGCCCCCUGGACAAAGACUGACGCUCAGAUGCGAAAGCGUGGGGAGCAAACAGGAUUAGAUACCCUGGUAGUCCACGCCGUAAACGAUGUCUACUUGGAGGUUGUGGCCUUGAGCCGUGGCUUUCGGAGCUAACGCGUUAAGUAGACCGCCUGGGGAGUACGGUCGCAAGAUUAAAACUCAAAUGAAUUGACGGGGGCCCGCACAGCGGGUGGAGCAUGGUGGUUUAAUUUCGAUGCAACGCGAGACCUUAUCCUACUCUUGACAUCCAGAGAACUUUCCAGAGAUGGAUUGUGCCUUCGGGAACCUCUGAGACAGGUGCCUGCAUGGCCUGUCGUCAGCUCAUGUUGUGAAUGUGGGUAAGGUCCCGCACGAGCGCCAUCCCUUAUCUUGUUGCCAGCACUUCCGUGCACCUCCAGGGAGACUGCCGUGAUACGUAGAACGGGUGGGACCACGUCAGUCAUCAUGGGCUACCGGAUAGCUAACACACGAGUGCUAUCAAUGAUGAGGCAU
rnacentral:rRNA from 1 species